rnacentral:rRNA from 1 species
UACAGAGGGUGCAAGCGUUAUCCGGAAUUAUUGGGCGUAAAGAGCUCGUAGGCGGUUUGUCGCGUCUGCCGUGAAAGUCCGGGGCUCAACUCCGGAUCUGCGGUGGGUACGGGCAGACUAGAGUGAUGUAGGGGAGACUGGAAUUCCUGGUGUAGCGGUGAAAUGCGCAGAUAUCAGGAGGAACACCGAUGGCGAAGGCAGGUCUCUGGGCAGUAACUGACGCUGAGGAGCGAAAGCAUGGGGAGCGAACAGG